AGCCUGUUUACAUAUAACACUUUAUGUUUUCAGGCAUUUAUUCAACUGUCUUUACUGAGAUCGGCUGCAUCCCUGUGUCCUUCACAAGCUAUACUCCACAGUCUGGGUGGCUCACUGUCAGCACCUUCAACUGGGUAAUUGGCACCUCAAACCCUAUGGACUACUUGCCUCCUGAUUUCUGUGCCAACUCUGAACUGGAGGAAACAGAAACACCACAUAAUUUCUUCACUGUCAUGGAGUCUCUGGCCAUGAAGAGCAAGAGAGUAGAGUAAACAUCUUGAGCAUCUUGACCAAGAUAAUUACAGAUAAUUACAAAUACUGGCCCUCAGCAGAAAUCCAAAUUUGACCUGAAUGAUUCAGUCACCAUCAUGGGAUGAUGACUGAAUCAUCAUAUCAUGUUAAAGUUACAUUAACAUGACAUCCAGCAGAGUUUUCAUCUGCAAUUCACAGACCUUACCUUUGGAUUGCAGGUAGAAAAGUGUAAAUAAAAAAUCUAUAUUAUUAGAGUGAGAACUACAGACACGCAGUCAACACUAUAAAGGAGAGCUUCAAAUAACAGAUUUCUGAUUUGCUUUGUCUUCUGUCUUUAUUCAUCACAUCAGUAAAAUUAUUUGCAAUUAAA